rnacentral:tRNA from 1 species
AUAAUUUUAGUUUAAAUAAAACAUUAACUUGUGGUGUUAAUAAUACUAAAAUCAACUUAUU